rnacentral:rRNA from 1 species
UACGUAGGUGGCGAGCGUUGUCCGGAUUUAUUGGGUUUAAAGGGUGCGUAGGCGGCUUUGUAAGUCAGUGGUGAAAUACUCCAGCUUAACUGGAGGGGUGCCAUUGAUACUGCGGAGCUUGAGUACAGAUGAGGUAGGCGGAAUUGACGGUGUAGCGGUGAAAUGCAUAGAUAUCGUCAAGAACACCGAUAGCGAAGGCAGCUUACUGGGCUGUAACUGACGCUGACGCACGAAAGUGUGGGGAUCAAACAGG